GAGAGUUAAACAGUACGUGAAAUUGUUGAAAGGGAAACGAUUGAAGUCAGUCAUACCAACGGGAAAUCAACCUUUUGAGUUUGGUCUCGUGGGUUUUGAAGAGUUUUUAAAAGCCUUCGGAUUUUCGAGAUUGGGUUCUUCUGGUGUACUUUCUCGUACGGUUAGUCAACAUCGGUUUUGAAUGUCAUAAAAUGACUGGAGGAAUGUGGCUUCGAUCUCGUAUUGAAGUGUUAUAGCCUUUGGUAGAUGUGAUGUUUGAGACCGAGGAUUGCAACGGAUACCCUUCAGGGCUAUUCGUCUGAUCUCUGAUACGUUGCCUUGAUGUUGAAAGCUUGCUUAUGAUGUUAGGGUAUUACGGUCAAAAGGUUAGAACGAAUUACAUUCGUUAAGGAUGUUGACGUAAUGACUUUAAACGA
rnacentral:rRNA from 1 species